CCCGCCCCGCCGCCGUAUUGGGUGCUGGCUAACGAAGCCGCAGCCCCCUUGGGCGAGUGUCACCAACCCGCUGCCGGGUGCAUUCCCCUGUCCUCCAGGGCACGUGAGGGGACGGCCUCACCUUUCCAGGCAAAAGCACACACUCUUGGAUCUAGGAAGAUGUCUUUAAUAACGUAAUUUUUAAGUGCUUAAAAGAACUCUACAGGGAACUCUACACAGUGUCUCAUGGGGAAAGGGACCCGGCCUGCCUCCCUGAGGAGUCCAUCCUGAGACCGAUCUGGAGAAGUUACUCAGAGAAAAGGGAACCGGCACGU